rnacentral:snRNA from 1 species
AUACUUACUUGGUGCCGGGGGCUCGUUGAUCAACGAGUGCGAAGCCGCAGAGCGAGGCGGGGGCAUUGCACUGCGCUCGCGUUGACCCCUGCACUACCCCAAACUGGGGUAGAGGGCGCAUGCAAAUGGC